rnacentral:misc_RNA from 1 species
UCGCGGCUUAUCACCGGCAGUCUCCUUAGAGUGCUCAACUAAAUGGUAGCAACUAAGGACGGGGGUUGCGCUCGUUGCGGGACUUAACCCAACAUCUCACGACACGAGCUGACGACAGCCAUGCACCACCUGUGAACCUGCCCGUGAGGGAAACCGUGUUUCCACGGCGAUCAGGUGCAUGUCAAGCCCAGGUAAGGUUCUUCGCGUUGCGUCGCAUUGAACCACAUGCUCCGCUGCUUGUGCGGGUCCCCGUCAAUUCCUUUGAGUUUUAGCCUUGCGGCCGUACUCCCCAGGCGGGGCACUAAAUGCGUUAGCUUCGGCACAGGAGGAGUCGACACCUCCCACACCUAGUGCCCAUCGUUUACGGCGUGGACUAC